UCCUGAGUCUCAGUGGUAAGAGCA
rnacentral:misc_RNA from 1 species